rnacentral:rRNA from 1 species
GACGAACGCUGGCGGCGUGCUUAACACAUGCAAGUCGAACGGAAAGGCCCUGCUUGCCGGGUACUCGAGUGGCGAACGGGUGAGUAACACGUGGGUGAUCUGCCCUGCACUUCGGGAUAAGCCUGGGAAACUGGGUCUAAUACCGGAUAGGAGCCAUUUUUAGUGUGAUGGUUGGAAAGUUUUUUCGGUGUAGGAUGAGCUCGCGGCCUAUCAGCUUGUUGGUGGGGUAAUGGCCUACCAAGGCGGCGACGGGUAGCCGGCCUGAGAGGGUGGACGGCCACAUUGGGACUGAGAUACGGCCCAGACUCCUACGGGAGGCAGCAGUGGGGAAUAUUGCACCAGGGGCGCAAGCCUGAUGCAGCGACGCCGCGUGGGGGAUGACGGCCUUCGGGUUGUAAACUCCUUUCGCUAGGGACGAAGCUUUUUGUGACGGUACCUAGAGAAGAAGCACCGGCUAACUACGUG